AAGGAAAAGACUGUGUUACUUAUUGUACUUCUGUCCUGCCUUUUCUUACACACGUGUGAAGCAUGGCUCUUUGAUAUCCCGCCAAAAUACGUUGACAGCCCAGGAGUUUCAAAACGGACUUUUUCGGGACGGAAUAGGAAAGAAACAGAUAACAAUUUCAUCCCCAAGGUUUUUAAUCAAGAUGGAGCGGGAAGCAGCAAUCAGCAACAUUUUCAAUUAUUAUUGUGGGUUUUAAAACAACUACAACAGAGAGAGAAUAUACAAAUAAAACAUAACGACAUCGAAGAGUCCCAGUGAUGAUUAAAGAAUCAUGUCAGAAUAUUAAUUUAUGAAAAUUACACGUAUCUUUACCAUAGAAAUUUGAUUCGCCUUCUAAAAGUAAAUUAGUAUUCUUAUAAAAGUUUAUGAAAUGACCAGUUUUGCUUGGUUUUGUACAAAGACGAUGAGCGAACAAGCUGAGAAAAUUGCUCAUAUAUCGUGAAAUAAGAAAGUGAAAAAUUAAAUCACUAUAUUAAAACAAUUUUCUUUGAUAUUUUGAUUAACAUUAAUGUAUUUUUUUAAUGUGAAAAAGAGGGCAAAAAUGAUGAUUUAUUUAUGCUAUAAUACUAUUUUUUAAA